UACGUAGGGACCAAGCGUUGUUCGGAUUUACUGGGCGUAAAGGGCGCGUAGGCGGCUUUACAAGUCACUUGUGAAAUCUCCGGGCUUAACUCGGAACGGCCAAGUGAAACUGUCAUGCUAGAGUGCAGAAGGGGCAAUCGGAAUUCUUGGUGUAGCGGUGAAAUGCGUAGAUAUCAGGAGGAACACCGGUGGCGAAGGCGGGUCUCUGGGCCGAUACUGACGCUGAGGAGCGAAAGCGUGGGGAGCGAACAGG
rnacentral:rRNA from 1 species